GAUGAAGAACGUAGCGAAAUGCGAUAAGUAGUGUGAAUUGCAGAAUUCAGUGAAUCAUCGAAUCUUUGAACGCACAUUGCGCCCCUUGGUAUUCCAUGGGGCAUGCCUGUUCGAGCGUCAUUUGUACCUUCAAGCCUUGCUUGGUGUUGGGUGUUUGUCUCGCCUCUGCGCGCAGACUCGCCUCAAAACAAUUGGCAGCCGGCGUAUUGAUUUCGGAGCGCAGUACAUCUCGCGCUUUGCACUCAGAACGACGACGUCCAAAAGUACAUUUUUUACUCUCUUGACCUCGGAUCAGGUAGGGAUACCCGCUGAACUUAAGCAUAUCAAUAAGCGGAGGA
rnacentral:misc_RNA from 1 species